rnacentral:lncRNA from 1 species
UUAUUAUGAAUAAUUAACAGGGAAGAGGGAAUUAUAAAUUGUAAUUAAUUGUAGGUUAAAUAGGGUAAUUACUUAUGUAUCCCAGAAAAAAAUUAAGUUACACAGAAGUAGAGGAAGAUGAACAAGAAGAAUUUAAAACGGAAGAGGAUGAAAGAGUGUUUUCUAGAGAGAGAUUUUGUACGUGAAUGGAAGCUUCUCAAAUCACUCAUUAACGAUAUUGUUUCUGAUGGCCUGCUCUCCAACUUCUCUUCUGCGCAUAAAAUUCGAUCCAUUGUACUCUGUCCGUCCCUCCCUGUGAUGUAUUAUUAGUUAUUAGUUCAAUGCUAUACAUUCGUAAUUGAAGAUUCUGUAGCCUUCCAUCGAUAUUUAAUUGUUGUUGUUGUUUUAUGAUAUCAAGUUUUUGUUUUUGUUUUUGUUCGUAUAAUCGACGAUUUGUUCCGUUUCAUUGCUGAGUAAAGUUCUUAAGGUUUGCUGGUUUUGGCAAGAAAAAGAGCAACUGUGGAGAAUUUUUAUUGUAAUAAUAAUAAUAAUAAUAAUAAUAAUAAUAAUAAUAAUAAUAAUAAUAAUUAAUAGAGGUGGAUAAAGGAAUUGAAAUUUGGAGGUGGCGGGUGCACCAUUUGUGUCUUCUGUUCGGUUUACUCAUUUUUUAUUUGAUGAUGAAAAUAGUACAAAUUAGCUUCUGUCGGGGUUGGUUUUGAGGUCGUUUGGUAGGGAUUACAAAAAUAGUACUUAGGGGCUCAUUUGGUUGACAAUUUACUCAGCAUCUGAGUUGACCCUGUUUUAAUUUAUGGGGUGAAUUAUUUGGCACGAUUCAUAGUUUGCAUGAAUGGUUAAAUUUCCCUUUUAAAUCUAGUUGUUCAAUAUGCAUGGUUGUACGUGUGAUAUGUCUUUUGAAUUUUACUAUUCUUAUGGCAUAACUUGUGAUCUAUUUAAUGCUUAAAUGUCUUAGAUUAAUCAUGUCUUUGUUCGACCCACUAACUUCAAUUUUGAACAAAAACAAAAUAGAAGGUCGGAAUUAUGUUGACUGGAAAAGAAAUCUUGAUGGUGUCCUAACUGCUAAAGAGUACAAAUUCUUACCGGUUUAUGAGUGCCCUGAAAAACCUGUGGAAUAUGCCACUAAUGAUCAAUUUAAGGCCUAUGGAAAAUGGAUCAAGGCCGAUGAAAUGAUGCGACGUUACAUUCUUGCCUCUAUGGCGAAUGUUCUUGCAACGUCAACAUAAGUCUAUAAGGUCUGCUUAUGACAUGCUUUAAAGUCUCAAAGUGAUGUUUGACGAGCAAAGUUGUCUUUCUAAGCAGAUAACCGUGAAAACCCUUUUGAAUUCGAAGAUGGCUGACGGAUCACCAGUUAGGGACCAUGUUCUGUAUAUGAUGAGUCUUCUAAAUGAACUGGAGGUCCUUGGAGCUGUGAUUGAUAAGAAAUCUAAAUUUAAUUCUUUUCAUGACUGUUAAAAAUAUUAUUCUGCAGAUAGACAAAUAUCAGGAGCAAGGUCAAUUACUGGAGCCUUACCUCGAGUGUAUGGUUUCACCCCUCAUGUCCAUUAUCCGUUCAAAAAUUGUCUAACUAGGUGCUGCCUCAGAAGAAAUUCUUGAAGUAAUCAAGCCUGUAUGUGUCAUAAUCUAUUCCUUGGUGACGGUUUGCGGCCACAAGGCUGUUGUCAAGUUCUUCCCACAGCAAGUCUCUGACCUUGAGCUUGCAGUAUCUCUCUUAGAGAAAUGCCAUAAUGCACAAGCUGUAACAUCAUUACGACAAGAAAGUACUGGAGAGAUGGAGGCAAAAUGUGUGAUACUAUUGUGGCUUUACGUUCUUGUAUUAAUCCUGUUUGAUAUAUCUUCUGUUGAUAUUAUUAUUGUGGAUAACAACUAUGCUGGAGGUGAUGAGCCACCUCCCCUUGUAUUAAGAAUUCUAGAAUUCUCUAAAGACUACCUUUCGAGUGUGGGUCCUAUGCAAACCAUAGCUGGUUUGCUGCUCUCGUGGCUUCUAACACGGCCUGAUAUGACUAAGGCUUUUACCAGGUCUCCAACUGCCUAAAACCUUGCCAUUUAUAACAUUUAUUGAUUUGAAUUUUUUCAGUCAAAAGAGGAAAAAAGUACAUAAAAGUAGAUGAAUUAUCUGGUCAUUCUCAUGUAUACACAAUUACAUUUGUGAAUGAAAAUGACAACACAAGCGUUGGAGUAGCAUUUACUGCAUUUCACUUUGCUUGUUAUGGAUAUGCAGUUCACUUUUAUGUAUGACCCGGCUGACAAAAACGCAUCCUUGCAAAUCGUCAUCAAUACGUGUGUAGCAUUCUCUUUUCUUUUUUGUAAAGUGAAUAAUUGUGCAGCAAAAAGAAUAAGAACCUCGUAAAUUGAACAUUUGUGCAGCAAAAAGAAUAAGAACCUUUUACGAAUGAAAUAUGCUGAGAAAGUACGGAGAUGAAUAUUUUUAUGCCUCCUUAAGGAAUUAUAUAUGUUUGACAUACAUAUUUGCUUCCCCAUAAAUUUGUUUUCAGUUUUAUGCACUGGGCACAUGAAGUUAUGUCCUGUCUUUCACAUGAUGUUGUCAACCACUUCCAGCUAUUGGGUAAAGUUGAAGCACUAGCUGCUAUUUUCAAGGUUUGCUCUUUGCUCUUUUUGCCCUAUAUUUUGGAAUAUUCCUAGCUUUCCUUUUAUGUAUAUUGCUAAUCUAUAGAAAUUAUGAUUCUACUUAGAACUUACGCACUCCUCUUUAACUCAAAUUUGAAUGAACUGAAUUCAUGUUCAUGCCUUCCCCUUCAGACCAGGAAGUACUUAUAGCUGCUCUUCCAGGAGCAAUUUCUUCUAGGUAAUAAUCUGAGACGGAGUAUGUGGUAACGGUUAAUUCUGAAAGAAAUGGACAAGGGUGGAAAAUCAAUUUGGAUUUUGUAAAGUAAAUACCUAGUUUUAUUUGGUUUUAUGCCUGGUCGCGCCACGACUGAGGCAAUUCACCUUGUGCGGAGACUGGUAGAGCAGUAUAGAGAGAGGAAGAGGGAUCUUCACAUAGUGUUUAUUGACUUGAAAAAGGCGUAUGAAAAGGUCCCUAGGGAGGUUUUUUGGAGAUGUUUGGAGGAGAGGGAGUCCCGGUGGCGUACAUUAGAGCGAUUAAGGACAUGUAUGAGGGAGCAAAGACCCGGGUAAGGACAAUGGGAGGAGAUUCUGAGCAUUUUCUGGUCUCGACAGGGUUACACCAGGGAUCAACUCUUAGUCCGUUUUUAUUCGCUUUGGUGAUGGAUGUGUUGACGCAGAAUAUAUAAGGUGAGGUGCCUUGGUGUAUGCUUUUCGCGGAUGAUAUAGUUUUGAUUGAUGAGUCGCGACAAGGGGUUAAUGAUAAGCUGGAGGUUCGGAGACAAACCCUGGAGUCUAAAGGUUUCAAGUUGAGUAGGACCAAGACAGAAUACUUGGAGUGCAAGUUUAGUGACUCGAGGCAAGAGGAGGAGGUGGUAGUGAAGUUAGAGUCUCAGGCGGUUUGCAAGAGGGAUAGUUUUAAGUAUCUUAGGUCUACGAUUCAGGGAAAUGGAGAGAUAGACGAGGAUGUCUCUCAUCGUAUUGGGGCAGGUUGGAUGAAAUGGAGGCUCGCUUCGGGGAUUUUAUGUGAUAAGAAGGUGCCCCCAAGCUGAAAGGCAAAUUCUAUAGAGUUGCAGUCCGGCCUGCCAUGUUGUGUGGAGCGGAGUGUUGGCCGGUUAAGAAUUCGCAUAUCUAAAAGUUGAAGGUGGCGGAAAUGAGGAUGUUGUGUUAGAUGUGUGGAUGCACAAGGGCUGACAGGGUUAGGAAUGAAAUUAUUCGAGAGAAGGUGGGAGUGGUGUUAGUGGAGGAUAAAAUGCGGGAAGUGAGGUUGAGAUGGUUUGGUCAUGUGAUGAGGAGAGGCACGGAUGCCCCAGUUCGUAGGUGUGAAAGGUUGGCCUUGGAAGGUUUUAAACGGGGUAGGGGUAGGCCGAAGAAAUACUGGAGAGAAGUGAUUAAACGUGAUAUGGAGCAGUUACAGCUGACUGAGGACAUGACCCUAGAUAGGAAGAUAUGGAGGAAAAGCAUUAGUAUAGAAGACUAAGGGUAUGGUUGAGUCGUAGUCAGUAUUUAGGUGGACUUUGGUGUCCUUUGUUUGGCAAUGCACAUAUUUUUGUGGAUGUCGUACCUAUGUUAUUUUAUUGUGUUCUAUGCUCUUAUGCUUGUGUGUACUGCCUUUUAUCUUGAGUCGGGGGUCUAUCGAAAACAGCCUCUUUACCUCUGUAGAGGUAGUGGUAUGGACUGCGUACAUUCUACCCUCCCCAGACCCCACAAUAUGGGAAUAUAUUGGGUUUGUUGUUGUUGUAAAGUAAAUACCUAGUUUUAA